UAAAGUUCCGAAAGUACUGUUUCUGCAUUGACGGUAUUUAACCAGAAAGUCACGGCUAACUACGUGCCAGCAGCCGCGGUAAUACGUAGGUGGCAAGCGUUAUCCGGAUUUAUUGGGCGUAAAGGGAGCGCAGGCGGUUGCUUAAGUCUGAUGUGAAAGCCCUCGGCUUAACCGAGGAAGGGCAUUGGAAACUGGGCAACUUGAGUGCAGAAAAGGAAAGUGGAAUUCCAUGUGUAGCGGUGAAAUGCGUAAAUAUAUGGAAGAACACCAGUGGCGAAGGCGGCUGUCUGGUCUGCAACUGACGCUGAGGCUCGAAAGCGUGGGGAGCAAACAGGAUUAGAUACCCUGGUAGUCCAUGCCGUAAACGAUGAGUGCUAAGUGUUGGAGGGUUUCCGCCCUUCAGUGCUGGAGCUAACGCAUUACGCACUCCGCCUGGGGAGUACGACCGCAAGGUUGAAACUCAAAGGAAUUGACCGGGCCCCCCACACGCGGUGGAGCAUGUGGUUUAAUUCAAAGCUACACCCCCAACCUUACCCGGCCUUGACUUCUCGUGCUCCAUAAUCAUAAUGUCCCCUCUAUCUAAAAUAUACUAACCUUGGGUCUUGCUCUUCCCCCCCUCCUGUACUGAAAAACCCCCUUUCCCCC
rnacentral:rRNA from 1 species